UUAAGAACUCUUAUUAAUAGAAAUUCAAGAUUAGAAACCGUGCAAAAAUAAAACUAACAGCACUUGAAAAAGUGAAGGAUUCAUCCCAGAUCUGGAGCUAGUUUGCAUUGCCAUUUCUAACACAUAGGACUGAGCCUUUUAUUUUCAUAUCUUGCUGUAAGUCUUUGCCAGCCUGCUUAUAUUCCCCAAAUAGCUUCUGCUUCACUACAUUUCCAUCUGUACAGAAAGGGCAUGGACAUAAACACUGAUAAACAGUGAAUGAAAUCUUCCCUACCUCCCAGCUAAGGCAGGAUACUGGCAGGCCAUAUUUUUCUUUUCAGAAAGUAUUAUGCUAGGGAUUGAGUCUUUUAUUGUGAUUUAAGAGGGAUUUUUACCAGGAAGCUGGCAGCAUCAAGCGCUUUUUGCUAGAUGUUGCACUGCUCUAUGAUAUAUAGGCGUGUGUCUUUUGGCUGCUGUAACAACCUUCCUCAAAACUAACAAAGUACCGUUAACUAUAUCUUCACCAUUUAAUCUCUGCAGUAGAUUAAAGUAGAUUUUUAGUCUUGCUUUCUUUGGUCUGAAUUUUCCUCUGAUUAAGAACAAGAUGGAAGACUGUCAUAUAUGUGCCCACAUAAAGGAAGGAAUGUAAGAGCUAUACUCACCUCCGUGGACCAGUUGCACCAGGAAGAUAUCAUCUGGCUGCUGUUCGUCAGAGCUGCUCGAGUCUGCAGGUGCUUCCCCACACGUUCUUCAGAAUCGCGUUCAGACAAGCCCUCAAAUUGUCCCCACGAUGGGCAGUGGAGGCAGCGGCGGGAACGCACGCCGGAACGCGCUGGGGCUGUCUGCAAGAAUGGGAAGAUCAGGCAAAACUGCAGUUAUUACAGGAUUUGAGAAAAUUAUUUUCUUAGUAGUUGUAAUGAAGGAAAAACGCACUGCGAAGCAGACUGCAAGAAAGAAUUGUAUCCAUUAAUGAUAGAUGCAUUAAUUUGAAAAAUAUCUGGACUUCCACUCUGAUUUUGAAUGAAAAUGAAAUUGUAAGUGAUUGGAGAGGCUAAGAGUGAUAGUUAUGGUGAAGGUUUUAAAUUGUCUGAGAGAUAGAUGCCUGAACUGUUGCUGUUGUUUGCCAUGACCUUAUGAUGGAACAUGAAGGAAAAGACCAUAAGCACUUUAGACAUAUUAUCUUAGUGCUGUGCAUUUUUCAAAACCAUGGUGAAUAUAAAUCCCCAUACCAAAAAUCAAUGUGGAUCAACCUAUCCUUUAGAAGUGAUUUGUAGUUAUUGGGGGUAUCUGAAUCUCAUUUAAGCAGAGCUCUGGAAUGCAAACAUUGCCUUAGUUUGUCUGAACGUGAUGUCCUUCUGCAGCUGCACAAGAGCAGAGUGCACAAAAAUGCACAUUACAUGUCAUGCGGAGGUUUGACGCUGUGAACGACAACACUUCAUGAAGUCCUACAAGAAUCCUGUCACAUACCAGUGAAUCUUCAGACUGAUGAAGCCAAUGAACUCAGGAGGGAUCAAAAUGUUUCAAGGAAUAAAGAAAGUAGAAAUCUCCUCACCCCCUCCAUGAAAUUUUGCAUGCCUCACUGGUGAAAUGUCAGACAAAGUAAUCCAAAAGUAAGAGCAUUAAAAACCUUCUGUGAAGGUUUUUGGCUUCUCACACUUUCUGCGUGUGUGUUGUAAAGCAGCAGUCUGUGCUAAGAACAGAGAAAUUUAUUAAUUUCUUCUUCUAGGACAAUUAUCUGUCUUUUCUUGGUUCCUCCUGCUAUGCAGGUCCAAAAGGAGAUGGGGAGACAGAGGAAGGAUUUGGCCUUCUUAUAAACAUUUCCUCUAAUUCUUGAAGUGAAGAAGCGAGAAAAAUAGCAUUUUCACAGGUCGCUCCUAUAGAAGGUCUCCUGACACUUCUGUAGAGAACUGGGAGGUCCCUGAAACUUAAAGAAGAGGGGCAGAUAGUAAGGGGGGAGAUGCAGAAUGGGAGAACAGGUAAGGCAGGAACCAGAGAAAAUGCAGAAAGGCUCUUCUCACGCAUUACAUCAUGCAUCCUCCUGUUGGUUCCCAUCUUUCACCAUUCAUUCAUUAAUUGAUUAUUCACUUUACUGAUAUACUAAGCAUGUGUGUAGGAUCUGCUCAUUGGACAAAACAUAUUCAGUCUGUAUAUUAACUUUAAGUGCCAUAUUUGGACUUUAAUUGGUUUGUCCAUUCUCUUUUGUGCAGUACAACAUGAGCACAAUAAUUAAAAUUUCUACUUAAGUGUUUAUGCCAAUCUGUAUCCUACACUAGGAAAAAUGAAAAAAAAAAAAAAGAAAAGAUAGGAAGAAAUGGAAAGAAAGAGGAAAGAUAAAAUGGAGUGAUUUAACCUGGAAGACAACUUCCAUCCAAAAUACAAAUUUAAUUGCCAGAUAGAAAGCUCCAUGGCAAAAUAAUGUGAUAAAAUAUACCUGAUUGAUAUAAUGUUCAUGAUUCUGUGGAGGAAAGGGGCUGACAGAGUCUGGCCAUUUCUGGUAGAUGAAUAAAGAAAUGUAGUUACUGAUGCACACAAAGCAAAGGAAAACUUUUGCAGACUUCUGGAGUAGGGGUCCUCCUACUGGAAUGACUGAUCCAUGUUUGUGGGCAUCUCACUAGACACUAAUUAAAAUUUUUCAUUUUUUAUAAAAUCUUUUUCCUGUACUGUCUUAAAAU
rnacentral:lncRNA from 1 species